AUUGAACGCUGGCGGCAUGCUUUACACAUGCAAGUCGAACGGUAACAGGGAGCUUGCUCCGCUGACGAGUGGCGAACGGGUGAGUAAUGCGUCGGAACGUGCCGAGUAGUGGGGGAUAACGCAGCGAAAGUUGUGCUAAUACCGCAUACGUACUGAGGUAGAAAGUGGGGGACCUUCGGGCCUCACGCUAUUCGAGCGGCCGACGUCUGAUUAGCUAGUAGGUGAGGUAAAGGCUCACCUAGGCGACGAUCAGUAGCGGGUCUGAGAGGAUGAUCCGCCACACUGGGACUGAGACACGGCCCAGACUCCUACGGGAGGCAGCAGUGGGGAAUUUUGGACAAUGGGCGAAAGCCUGAUCCAGCCAUGCCGCGUGUCUGAAGAAGGCCUUCGGGUUGUAAAGGACUUUUGUCGGGGAGGAAAUCCCCAGCGUUAAUACCGCUGGGGGAUGACAGUACCUGAAGAAUAAGCACCGGCUAACUACGUGCCAGCCGCCGCGGUAA
rnacentral:rRNA from 1 species